AACGAACGCUGGCGGCGUGCCUAACACAUGCAAGUCGAGCGGGAAAGCGGGGGUAACCCUGUUAGUACAGCGGCGCACGGGUGAGUAACACGUAGGUAACCUGCCUUCGAGACCGGGAUAACCUGUCGAAAGAUGGGCUAAGACCGGAUAAGACCACGGUGGCUCCGGCUGCUGGGGUAGAAAGUGGCCUCUGCUUGCAAGCUACUACUCGGAGAUGGGCCUGCGCGCCAUUAGCUAGUUGGUGGGGUAACGGCCUACCAAGGCAAAGAUGGCUAGCUGGUCUGAGAGGAUGGCCAGCCACACUGGGACUGAGACACGGCCCAGACUCCUACGGGAGGCAGCAGUGGGGAAUAUUGCGCAAUGGGCGAAAGCCUGACGCAGCGACGCCGCGUGGGUGAUGAAGGCCUUCGGGUCGUAAAGCCCUGUCGGGAGGGACGAAACCUCGGCGACCUAAUAUGUCGCCGACCUGACGGUACCUCUUAAGGAAGCACCGGCUAACUCCGUGCCAGCAGCCGCGGUAAUACGGAGGGUGCAAGCGUUGUUCGGAAUCACUGGGCGUAAAGCGCGUGUAGGCGGUUCCUUAAGUCUGGUGUGAAAGCCCGGGGCUCACCCCCGGAAGUGCACUGGAGACUGAGGAGCUUGAGUACCGGAGAGGAGGGUGGAAUUCCUGGUGUAGCGGUGAAAUGCGUAGAUAUCAGGAGGAACACCGGUGGCGAAGGCGGCCCUCUGGACGGCUACUGACGCUG
rnacentral:rRNA from 1 species